rnacentral:tRNA from 1 species
ACUUAAAUAGUCUAAUAAUUAGGGCGUUACAUUGAAGCUGUAGAGGUGGCGUUUAUGCCUUUGAGU